rnacentral:rRNA from 1 species
CCUACGGGAGGCAGCAGUGGGGAAUUUUGGACAAUGGGCGCAAGCCUGAUCCAGCAAUGCCGCGUGAGUGAAGAAGGCCUUCGGGUUGUAAAGCUCUUUUGUCAGGGAAGAAACGGUGGGAGCUAAUAUCUCCUGCUAAUGACGGUACCUGAAGAAUAAGCACCGGCUAACUACGUGCCAGCAGCCGCGGUAAUACGUAGGGUGCAAGCGUUAAUCGGAAUUACUGGGCGUAAAGCGUGCGCAGGCGGUUUUGUAAGACUGUCGUGAAAUCCCCGGGCUCAACCUGGGAAUGGCGAUGGUGACUGCAAGGCUAGAGUUUGGCAGAGGGGGGUAGAAUUCCACGUGUAGCAGUGAAAUGCGUAGAUAUGUGGAGGAACACCGAUGGCGAAGGCAGCCCCCUGGGUCAAAACUGACGCUCAUGCACGAAAGCGUGGGGAGACAACAGAGUAGAUACCUACGUAGUCCGACCGACCCUAACCGACUAGUCUGCUAGUUGUUCGGGUUCGUUAUUAGUACGUUGGUACGCGAGCUACGCGUGAGUAGACCGCCGUGGGNGGUACGGUCGCGAGAAGUUAAACUACAAGUAGUAAGUUAGUACGGCGUGAGACGUUGCCGACGGACGACGACGAGGGAGGAGG